GAGAAUUUUUUUUCUUCUUUAUACAAUAAAAUUGGAACGAUACAAAGAAGAUUAGCAUGGCCCUCGCGCAGAGAUGGCACGCAGAAUCGUGAAGCGUUUUUAAUCUAU